GGAAAGGGGAGGUAAGGACCUUUCAUCUUGGCCUGGUCUGAGGCUUUUUAUUUUGCUCUAAGUGGAAAUUCUCUCUUUGCUGGGGAAAAUACAUAAUUUCGAGCAUCUGCUCUUUCUCCCUGACCUUGGUGACUCUUUCUAAGCCCGUCCUUAGCCAGGGAACCCCUUCCCCUGGUCCCCGUGAGCCCAGCAGCUCCUGUUAUGUUUGAGCUGUUGCUGGACUCUUGCUCUGCCUCGGAGGGC